CUUCCCACGCCUUCUUUACUGGAAAAGAGGUUGCAGGGAUCAUUUCACUCCACGGCCGCUGUGCGGCGAGGUCCAGGUGGCGUUUGCUGUGGCGGCCAGGGGUUAUGGAGCCGGCUGCGAUGCACCACUGUGGGGUAGAUGCAUGUCAUGGUACCCCCUGCUGGCCCCGCCUCCUCAUCAGGUUAACCUGAGGACUCCAGCUGCGCUUCAUCAUCUUCAUCAGCCGGGGGACUCUUAAGGAGAACCAGGACCCUUACUCGACGCUAGUUCGUUGUACUCCACGGAUCACGAUCACGCCUGUCACGUUCUGGACUCCGACUCACCUUCGCUCUGGUCCCUCCUCGUCGCCCCUCUGGACAUCCUUCUGGAAACGCGGUGUUCGCCGCCAAGACCCUCCAACCAUCCACAAAACAUCCUCUCUUGGAACUCUGUCAUUCCUCCAUUAAAUCCUUUACUACUCGUC